rnacentral:rRNA from 1 species
GUGGCCAGCCGCCGCGGUAAUACCGGCAGCCCGAGUGAUGACCGAUCUUAUUGGGCCUAAAGCGUCCGUAGCUGGCUACGCAAGUCCGUCGGGAAAUCCACUCGCCCAACGAGUGGGCGUCCGACGGAAACUGCACAGCUUGGGACCGGAAGGCUCGAAGGGUACGUCCGGGGUAGGAGUGAAAUCCCGUAAUCCUGGACGGACCGCCGAUGGCGAAAGCACGUCGCGAGAACGGAUCCGACAGUGAGGGACGAAAGCCAGGGUCUCGAACCGGAUUAGAAACCCUUGUAGUCC